rnacentral:lncRNA from 1 species
UAGUAGAUUAAUUAUUUCAAUAAAACAAUAAAAUUUCUAUGAGAGGGUAAAUGGCAUAACAAUACACUCCUUCUCAAGUGCAGAACUUGAAAACACCAUUCCCAAGCAGAAUAUAAAUGCAUUUUUUGGUGUAUUAUUCUCUGAUAUUUCCUCUUUUGAAUAGCAGAGAAAGAAGUAUGUGUGUGGCACUGUGGUUAAAUAUGGAAUGCAGGCUCUAAAGGAUUCCUUUUCCUCUGAAAGUCUUAACAGGCGCCUCACCUUUCUCUGGUUUUCCUUCUAGUCUCAUGCAAAGACUAAACAACAACAAUCAACUCGAUAAAAUAGUGUCCAUAGGCCAGCUUAGGUUAGGCUGGUUGCAUGGAAAGAAUGUGACUGGGAAUUCAUAUCCUAGAGUCAAGCCAGAAACUUAAUGAUUAAACAAAUCACUUCCUUGAACGCAGUCUUUUUCCAAGGUUCUGUUAGCCAUACUCUCAGGAAGCUGUGAAGUAGGGAGAUCUACGUGGGGGUCUCUUUGUACUGAGACUCAUCAGCAUCUCGGAAAGCAGAAGGGCCUGAAUUAUUGCAGGCACAAGUGGGAGGCUGGGACAGCAUUUCUGACUUCCUGGGAGAAGAUGUCGAAGACACAGGAGAAGACAAGCCAGGGAGAGGGGCUUAGAGCAGAUUCUCCCUUGCAGCCUCAGAAGGAAUCAGUCCUGGUCACACCUUGAUCUCAGACUUCUGGCCUCCAGAAUGGUAGCAGCAGCAAAAAUGGCAAAAUGAGGACUUUUGAGAAUUCCUUUCUCUAUGGAAACAAAACCCUGGGGGAAAAUGGUCUGAAUCAACCUUUUCAGAACUCUGGAAAUUAGCCCGAGACUUGAAGCAAUUCAGGUUGCAUUUGUAUAAGAAAAGUGACAGAAUCUCAGUAAGAACAGCAAGCUUUGAAGGAUUUGAACUUGCCCAGUUGCCUUCCUUCUUUCUCCAUCUCUGCAGGGGACUUAAAACCAACAUCCCACACUCAUAAUGAAAACCUGGCAGGAGGCAGAACAGGAUUGGAGCUGCUUCAAAGCCUUAGGUCCAGAGAACUCAUCACCUAUGCAGAUCCUCAAUAAGACUCAAAGCUGAUUCCGCCUCAGAAACCAUGGAGACCCAAAGCCAAAUUCAAAGUGCUGAAAGUUAACUCAUCCAAUCAGUCAACUCUUGUACAGACCUCCUUUUUUUUUGUUCUUGGAGUUUGUUUUAUUCUAAUAAAGGUGUUUUAUAUUGUUGUUGUAUUAUUCUUAAAUACCAUAUUUUAGUUGCUAUUAUAAAUGGUACUUCUAUUGCCGUUUUGUCUAACAUUUUCUGGUGGUCAAAUUUCUAGCUAGUGUGGAAGAACACUGAUGGUUUUUACUUAUUGAUUUUCUCUCUGGCAAUCUCACUAAACCUUAUGAUAAGUAAUAAACCUUAUGAUAGUAGAAAAGGUUGAUAUGAUAUGAUAGUAGUAAUCCUCUGGAUUACCCAUCCCCUCUUGAUAAUCUCUGUUGAAAUAAUCACAUUAUGUGCAACUAAUGACAAUGUCACUGCUCUUAUAGUCUCUAUGUGCAUUUCUUUUUCUUGUCUUACUGCUUUGACUCAUUCAGUUGACUGCCAUUCACAGAACAGAUGUGGAACGGUUGUUUUCGUUAUCAUGUGCCUAAAAAGAAUGUGAUUAAAAUUUGCCAGUUCAAUAUAAUAUUGGAUGUAGGGUUUUAAUAAAUAACUUUCAACAAACUGCAAGAGUCAUCUUCCCUUUCUAGUAUUCUAAUGGCACUGGUUUUUUAAAAAUAAUAAAUUGGUAUUGAAGUUGUCUUAUGCUUUUUUCUGUAUCCAUUUCCAUUAAGAUAAUUAUUUGGAUUUUUUCUACUUUUCAUUAUAUGAUAUAUUGAAUAAUUAUAUUUUCUGAGGCUGAACUCUCCUUGAAUCUCUGUUACAAAUGCUGCUUGUCAUGAGAUACUAUUUUUCAUGCUGUCGUUAAAUUAGUAAAUUAAUUUUUAUUUAGGAUCUUAAAUCUACAUAUGUAAGUAAAACU